GCCUCAUAUCGAGGACACGAAACUCUACACAAAGAUGCCAAGUAGGUACCAGACUUACAGCUGAACAAAAAAACAGAUCACAUUCAUUUGGGAAAGGCCUUCCAGAUACCAAAAAUAAGAAUUUCACAUUCCUGCAAUACUUCUAUUCACAUGUUACCUACCACUCCCCGGCAUACCCAUCAUAAGACAUGCAGACUAAGUCGCUACAACACUCCGCACAACGAUAUAUAUCAGACAUUAGAGGCUACCAUCGUUACGCUCUAGACGGCACAUGUUUUCCCAGCCACUAACUUAUUGGGAAGCCACUCCAAGUGAGGGUUCCUCAUCCAAUUACAUGUCCACUAUAGGAGCAACUGAUCCAGAAAUCAGAUCCUAUGGAAAUUUCAUGUAUAUAUUGCUGUAUAUCCGCUACUCUCCAGCAGACUGCAGAGAAUACUUUACAAAAGAUACCUCCCUCUACAGAUAGUUUCAAUCAAAUAGGGGCUUGGUCAUUCCCAUUCUCUUCAACACACUUGACUGAUCCCGAGACCGGGGCCGGGCUUACAGCAUACAGAAGGAACCUCGGUAGAGGGACUGCAGUCACCAGAGCUCUCCUUAUGGAGCAACACACAACCACACAUGACCAGGCCCACCCUAGGGCAUAAGUCCACAAAUAUGGUACCCCACUUGUUAGUGACUCUGCAGUGUUGUCGUUGCAUCUGUCCUGAUGUUGUAGAACAAUAUCGCUUGUAAUGGCACCCCCAGGCAUAAAGGGGGUUAAACCGCCGUUUAGUAGAUCUUCCCCUUCCAGAGACACAGGCACAGCUACUGCAGAACACCAAACUCCCAAACUGGAUACAAAAUAGCACUCCAACUCCCGAACUGGAACCUCACUAAUAGCUGCUAGCAGACGAACAGGAAAAGCAGACAAUCAGCUUACACUCCUGGCAAUCAGUCAGCAUACAGUGAAUCCCCCCCAAGAACGAGACAGAGCUCCGUGUUGAGGGUCAAGCAGUGGUCAGUUUAAUGAGGGCUACCUGCCCAGUAUUUAUGCAGGUCUCCCACCUGGUGGACACUCCCCUAGGGGACCAGAUGGAAGACUGUAACAAAAGACAGACAUGUACCAAUUACAGACAUACAGAAGUAAAACAUCCCCACAAUGCAUCCUGGCUUCCUCCCCUCUGCCCUGGAGAAGUAAUUCAAUUAU